CACGCUCAACAGACCAAUCAUUGAGCGAGGAUCGGAAAACGUCAUCUAGCUGUGUGAGCUGUUAUACAAAAAUACUGGUGGCCAUUGAUGAACGAUUGGACUGGUUUCUUUACUCUCAGAUGAGUCAUGGAGAAGUUUAAACAUCGGUGCAGCGUGUGCGACAAGACUUUCACUGAAAAGUCCAACCUGACGAGGCAUCUGAAGAUCCAUGCUGUCGCCAGGAAGACCUUUGACUGUGAUGUCUGCAGUAAGAGCUUGACCACCAAAUCAUCGCUGGUCAGCCAUCAACAGCAACACCAGUACCCCAACAUUGUUUUGUACCGGCAAGGAGAGGCCAGGCUGAAGUGUACAGAGCCAGCCAAGUCUGUGUCAGAGGCCCCCAGCACCGUUGUUGACCCUACAUGGCUGGAUCCCAAGACAGCAGAGGCGAUGGCCAAGAGAUCCGGGGGUGAGCUGUGGAAAGGUCAGCUGGUCAUUGUGUUCGGGAAGUACGCCGGUCAAACGUUCAGGUGGCUUCUAGAAAACGAUGUCGGCUGGCUGGUGUGGUUGCUGUUCCAGUACUGCCAGCAGGGAGAGCAGAACGAGCUGCUGAAGUGGCAGAAGGAGCGACUGCUCGAGUACGCCAAAGAGUUCCCUCCUGUCACAUGGCACCUUGAGAGGAGGUUGAAGAAAGUGCAAUCGAAGCCCGACCUCUCUCAGCAGGACCCAAACUACGCCAGCGAUGCCGAGUUGUUGACUGCUGCAGAGAGUGUCCUGGACAGGUCCGAGGCAUCGGUCAGCACGCAGCUGACCACCUGGGGAGACCUCGCCAGCUCUGUGUGCCAGGACGACAGGCCCGGACCCUUGUCCCUCCGAGAGACCUCGGAACCCAAUGGCGUCGUGCUGGAGGGCUGGCAGAAGUUCUGGGAGCAGCCGCCUGAAUCCGCCCAAGCCCUUGGUAUAGUCCCUGCGAACAUCAAGUGGCUGAAGACCAAUGAGACCUACGGGCUGUUUGAGAGGGCGUCUAAGUAUAAGAAUGUUAGGGGAGAGAUGGCCGAGAGGAAGCUCUUUAAGGAGAAGAUGGAGUUCCACCCGCCCCCACCUCCUAUGGCCGUCAAGGGAGCUGUGCCCAACAUGCUCUCCUUCUUCACCACCCCUGCCUUCUUCUGGCGCCCGGUCGGCGUGAUGAAGGCAUUGAUCCGCUGCCCCAACACCAACUGCCCCGCACCGCCAGAGUACUACCUGGAGAAGAGAGGGUACGGCAGCUACGCCAGGCAAGUGUACGGCUUGAACUUCCUUUACACCCUGCUGACCGAGAGGUUGAUGUGCAAACACUGUCUCAAGCUGAGGGAGGAGCCGAGCCAGACGCAGGCGGACGACGAGGAGGACGGCGCCCACCGUGCCCAGCUGCAGUACACCUGGCUGGCGUACAGUCCGAAAAUUCUGAUGAACCUUGCCCCGGCCAUCAGAAGCAUGUUCCCUGCCAUAGUCUGUGGCAAGCGUGCUGUGGACAGGAGUGUCGUCACCCUGAUGAGCGACCGACUCAACGCUGUGUCAAUGAGCAAGGUGCAGAGGCUGCUGCAGCAGGGCCACGACGAGUGGUACGUGGAGCGUCGGGACUUGUACCAGACUCUCCUGUACGAUGCCCACACGUCGGCGGCUGGAUCGUCUCAGCAAGGCAUCCUGUCGUUUGCCAGAGCAGCCGGCACUUACACCCCUCCCAUCGCCCCGUCUCCCCUUCCGUCUGCUCGGGUCCUGAGGCGUGCGCACCUGAUCCUGGAGAUGGAGAAGAUGCCCGUGUACAGGGACCAAAUCCUCAGUACGACUGGGGAAAUCCUGUGCAUCGACGGCACAAGGAAGGUAUGUACAGCAUAAAGUACUUGUGAUCAUAUGGAACAGACUGACUGUUGAUAAACACCACGCAAUGAAUGUUCUGCUUUGUUUUGAUAGAUUCUCAAGAAGAUCUACGGCGACGGCCAGGGCACCAUGCAGUACGUCACCAGCGUGCUGAAUGAGUGGGGUCAGUUCUUGACCACAGUGGUGGUGGCGUCCGAGUCCGAGGGCUGCUACGCACGCAUGGCCAGAGGUCUGGUCGCCCGCUUUCGCCGUGCCAACGCUCCUGCUCCAAAGGUGGUGUACGCGGACAACAACUGCUGUCGGUGAGUUCAAUAGCAGUUGAAACUAGUGUUGUCACGAUACCAAAAUUAUGAAAAAAAAGUAAUAGUAGUAAAAUAUGACAGAACUUACAAUUAAGUGUUUUAUAAAUUAAUACAAAAAAACUCUGUUCCUGCCCUGCUUUUUGACCAUUGCUUCCCC
rnacentral:lncRNA from 1 species